GUGAACUUUUUACCUUGCUACAUAUACUAAAAUUGGAACAAUACAGAGAAGAUUAGCGUGGCCCCUGCGCAAGGAUGAUAUGCAAAUUCGUGAAGCAAUCCAUAAAUUG
rnacentral:snRNA from 1 species